rnacentral:rRNA from 1 species
CAAUAGCGUAUAUUAAAGUUGUUGCGGUAAAAAAGCUCGUAGUUGGAUUUCUGUUGAGAGCGACCGGUCCAUACCAUGUAUGCGUAUCUGGCUUGCUCUCGGCAUCCUCUCGAUAGACGUUACUGCGCUUGAUUGCGUGGUGCGGAUCUCGGGACUUUUACUUUGAGGAAAUUAGAGUGUUCACGGCAGGCUUUCGCCAGAGUACAUUAGCAUGGAAUAAUACUAUAGGAUCUUGGUUCUAUUUUGUUGGUUUCUAGAAUUGAGAUAAUGAUUAAUAGGGACAAUUGGGGGCAUUCGUAUCAACACGUCAGAGGUGGAAUUCUUGGAUUGUGUUGCGACGAACUACUGCGAAAGCAUUUGCCAAGGAUGUUUUCAUUGA